GUUAAGGUGGCAGAGCCCGGAAAUUCCAUAAAACUUACAACUUUACAUUCAGAGGUUCAACUCCUCUCCUUAACA
rfam:Cavia porcellus supercont2_43 genomic scaffold, whole genome shotgun sequence.